rnacentral:sRNA from 2 species
UGGCCACUUGUGCUCCCACGGAAUGGCGAGGACCCUCUGUCACUAAGCAUCGAAUGGAUAUGGGGUUCGACAUCAAGCGGGCAGCUAUUUAUGUGUAGAGCAUCCCAAACCAAGAGGCUGAUCCCCUAAUUUUCAUAUUUAGGGCACCCGUCAAGGAUGUCUUAAUAUAGUUUGCAUCUAUAUAUAUUUAUCUAUAUAUCUUGCUUGAUUCCUGUGAUGCGCCAAACGCCAACAUCAAACCCGCGCUAUUCUGCCUUGCCAGAGAGCUCAAGUGAGACUGAGCUUCAGGAUAUUCCCUGGCGGAGCCCCGAGCCUGGAGAAGAAGAAGAAGAUAAUAAUUAUCAUGAUGAUGUACGAUCAGCCGGCGGGAACUCGCCCGAAGGAGAGAUCAUCGGUGCAGAGGGAGCAGAGCUCACUGAGGACAAAUUCGCCCCCUUCCCAGACAUGCAUCAUGAUCCGAA